rnacentral:rRNA from 1 species
AGAAUCAACGCUGGCGGCGUGCCUAACACAUGCAAGUCGCACGAGAAAGGGACUUCGGUCCUGAGUACAGUGGCGCACGGGUGAGUAACACGUGACUAACCUACCUCCGAGUGGGGAAUAACCUAGAGAAUCUGGGCUAAUACCGCAUAACACUUACGAGUCAAAGCAGCAAUGCGCUUGGAGAGGGGGUCGCGGCAGAUUAGUUAGUUGGCGGGGUAAUGGCCCACCAAGACGAUGAUCUGUA